rnacentral:rRNA from 1 species
UACCAGCACCCCGAGUGGUCGGGACGAUUAUUGGGCCUAAAGCAUCCGUAGCCGGUUCUACAAGUCUUCCGUUAAAUCCACCUGCUUAACAGAUGGGCUGCGGAGGAUACUAUGGAGCUAGGAGGCGGGAGAGGCAAGCGGUACUCGAUGGGUAGGGGUAAAAUCCGUUGAUCCAUUGAAGACCACCAGUGGCGAAGGCGGCUUGCCAGAACGCGCUCGGACGGUGAGGGAUGAAAGCUGGGGGGAGCAAACCGG